GGUAUUAAGUGGUGAGUGCUCAAGCAUUGCGCAGCUCCUGGAGAAAACUAUUGAACUAUAUACUUACCCUGGAAUACUGAUAUCCAGCCAGGGUCCAUACGGAAGACGGCCACGUCAGCGCAUCAUCACCAACCGACAGGGAGGAUGGGUAGUCGAUUCCUGGACAAGUCUUGCACGAUGACUUGAUAAGGUGGUCGUCCACUGUAAAAGAGAGUGACGCCAGUGCGUAAUAGAGGUGAAUGAAUGAAGAGCGGCAGUGGUUAGUGCAUGACGAUGAAACUGUCUCGUCGACCACUGGUACAA